rnacentral:rRNA from 1 species
GAUCAUGGCUCAGGACGAACGCUGGCGGCGUGCUUAACACAUGCAAGUCGAACGUGAUUUUUAUGGAAGAACCUUCGGGGACGGAAAUAAAAUGAAAGUGGCGAACGGGUGAGUAACACGUGAGCAACCUACCUUACACAGGGGGAUAGCCGUUGGAAACGACGAUUAAUACCGCAUGAGACCACAAUACUGCAUGGUAAAGGGGUCAAAGAUUUAUCGGUGUAAGAUGGGCUCGCGUCUGAUUAGCUAGUUGG